rnacentral:lncRNA from 1 species
AAAGAUCAACUUUUCUUUGCAAGCCGACGAGGCUUCCAUUUCCAACUCUUCGCGUUAACACCAUCAACGAUCACUUUGCGGACAUUUUUCCUACUAGUCUAAACAAAUGAUCCAAGUUCUUUACAGUAAAACUAAAGAAUGAGUAAUCCAAACGAAGGUGUCAAAAGGUACUGCCUUAUCAUCAUUGAAUGUUCUAUACGACUGACCGUGGGGCAUUACGUAGCUGAUGACAUAA